rnacentral:rRNA from 39 species
UUUGACCUCGGAUCAGGUAGGGAUACCCGCUGAACUUAA